rnacentral:lncRNA from 1 species
AGGGGGAGGUGGGGCGGGCCCACUGGAUGUGCCAGGGACCAGGACCAGGCCACGCUGGGCCAGAGCUGUCACGGUGCAGGCCCUGUGCACAGAACCACAGAACACGCUCAACAAGCCCCCUAAGCUUAGGGGCACUGACCUACCCUGGGGACCAGUAAUCUUCAAGAUGAGAAAGCGGAGGCACAGCGGUGCCCUGAUACGGCCAAGAGAAGGACUGUGGGUAAGCAGGAGAGCUAGGAACAGACCCCAGCUGCCCUCGCUGGCGAAUGCACAGAACCAUUACAUCAUCCCACCCCGAGACCCAACCAAGAGGUACCCACACCCCGUGGUAGCAGGGGCUGAAGGCCCGGAGAUAGGAGAGGAGGCCCCACAUACUCCAGCACCCAAGGCAAUGAGAGAAACUGAGGCCCAGGAAGGUGCUAGGUCCGUGAGGAGGAAGGUGGCAAGGGCUGGGCAGUGAGCUUCUUCAGAGCUAAGGUUCUUCUCUGCCACCCCCUCCUAUCUUGCAGGUCUCAAACCGUGUCAGGCCCCUCGAGAGCUCCUAUGGAUCAACAGUGUCUGGGGAGAGCCAGAGCCCCGGGACAGAUGCGGGGCUGCCUAAGACCCUCAGAUGGCCCAACUGACACAGAGUCAACCGUUCAAUCUAGUCCAAGCCUGAAUUCUUGGGGUCUGGGUCUGUGGGGUGUCCAGAAUCCUGCAGUGGGAUGACUGAGGCUUGGGGGUGCCCCUGCCUGGGCUGCUCAGGCCCUGCCUCCCAAGUCACAGAGGGAGAGAAACUGAGGCACCAGAAGACCUGCUUCUCUCCUCCACAGGACUCCACAGGAAUCUGGGGCUUGAAACUUGGGCCUUGGUUCCCUGCCCUGUAGCCCUGAUAGGUUCACACAUGAAGGGAAGGUUCUCAAUGCA